rfam:Pan troglodytes isolate Yerkes chimp pedigree #C0471 (Clint) chromosome 1, whole genome shotgun sequence.
GCUGGGCAUGGUGGCUCAUGCCUGUAAUCCCAGCACAUUGGGAGGCUGAGGCUGGCGGAUCACUUGAGGUCAGGAGUUCGAGACCAGCCUGGCCAACAAGGUGAAACCCUGUCUCUA